rnacentral:tRNA from 1 species
AAGUUUUUAUUUUAAAUAUUAAAAUAUUAUUCUGUAAAAAUAAAAAUUUUAAAGCUUU